rnacentral:rRNA from 1 species
CAGCCGCCGCGGUAAUACCAGCUCUUCAAGUGGUCGGGAUAAUUAUUGGGCUUAAAGUGUCCGUAGCCGGUUUAGUAAGUUCCUGGUAAAAUCGGGUAGCUUAACUAUCUGCAUGCUAGGAAUACUGCUAUACUAGAGGGCGGGAGAGGUCUGAGGUACUACAGGGGUAGGGGUGAAAUCUUAUAAUCCUUGUAGGACCACCAGUGGCGAAGGCGUCAGACUGGAACGCGCCUGACGGUGAGGGACGAAAGCCAGGGGAGCGAACCGGAUUAGAUACCCGGGUAGUCCUGGCCGUAAACGAUGCAUACUAGGUGAUGGCACGGCCAUGAGCCAUGUCAGUGCCGUAGGGAAACCGUUAAGUGUGCCGCCUGGGAAGUACGGUCGCAAGGCUAAAACUUAAAGGAAUUGGCGGGGGAGCACCACAAGGGGUGAAGCCUGCGGUUUAAUUGGACUCAACGCCGGGAAACUUACCAGGGGAGACAGUAGUAUGCCGGUCAGGUUGACGACCUUACCUAACGAGCUGAGAGGAGGUGCAUGGCCGUCGCCAGUUCGUGCUGUGAGGUAUCCUGUUAAGUCAGGCAACGAACGAGAUCCGCACCUUUAUUUGCCAGCAAGAAGUCACGACUUCGUUGGGAACACUAAAGGGACCGCCGUCGAUAAGACGGAGGAAGGAGCGGGCAAAGGCAGGUCAGUAUGCCCCGAAACCCCUGGGCUACACGCGGGCUGCAAUGGUAUGAACAAUGGGCAGUAACUCCGAAAGGAGAAACCAAUCCCGAAAUCAUAUCUCAGUUGGAAUUGUCGGCUGUAACCCGCUGACAUGAACGUGGAAUCCCUAGUAAUCGUGUGUCAUCAUCGCACGGUGAAUACGUCCCUGCCCCUUGCACAC